GACGAACGCUGGCGGCGUGCUUAACACAUGCAAGUCGAACGGUGACCUCGAGAGCUUGCUCUUGGGUGAUCAGUGGCGAACGGGUGAGUAACACGUGAGUAACCUGCCCCAGACUCUGGAAUAACCCCGGGAAACCGGAGCUAAUACCGGAUACGAGACGGAGUCGCAUGGCUACCGUCUGGAAAGUUUUUCGGUCUGGGAUGGACUCGCGGCAUAUCAGCUUGUUGGUGAGGUAACGGCUCACCAGGGCGACGACGGGUAGCCGGCCUGAGGGGGCGACCGGCCACACUGGGACUGAGACACGGCCCAGACUCCUACGGGAGGCAGCAGUGGGGAAUAUUGCACAAUGGGCGAAAGCCUGAUGCAGCGACGCCGCGUGAGGGAUGACGGCCUUCGGGUUGUAAACCUCUUUCAGCAGGGAAGAAGCGAAAGUGACAGUACCUGCAGAAGAAGCACCGGCUAACUACGUGCCAGCAGCCGCAGUAAUAC
rnacentral:rRNA from 1 species